UUGGGGGAUGGGUUCUGUGCACUGUGUUUUCAGAUACUGAUUCCCAUGCCCAGACAGCUGGCAGCAGUCUAGAUGAAGGCCAGGUCAAGCAUCUCUGGUCUCAAUGUCAUGUAAAAAUUGUUUUCCAUCACUUCUGAUUUGUUAGUAAAAGAGCCGGUCAGCCAAUGAGCUGGGCAGAAGAAAUAGGGCGGGACUCCCGAUCCUAGUCAUGGGACCCGGAAUACAUGAGAUGAUGGGGAACUGGAACCCUUGGAGGCUCUCUGUAUUUUAUGGGAUGACUUGUAUUUGCUUGAUGUCCAGUCUGUGACACACCAAUGGAAUCGCUUAAUAUUUCUUGCUUAAUAUUUUUGAACCACAGAACACCAACGUGACUGACGUACUUCAGAAUAGCUUGGGCAAACCGUCCGACUUCUUCCCUCCAUGCUAGCAGAAGCCAGCAGAAUGAGAAUUACGACAGGGUCCCAUGGCGAGGAUAGAAUUUCCAACAAGCCAGUCUUUGAGGAGGGUGACCCAUCUAGAGAUGACAAAUGGUCAGUCCCAAAGGCAGCAGCUGGCCCCACUGUAAAUCCAGGUUCAGGGUCCUUUAAAACACACACCUGUUGCAGGGGAGUCCCUGCAGCAAGCCCACAGCUGUGGGUGGCGUUUGCAGCCCGCCU
rnacentral:lncRNA from 1 species